ensembl:misc_RNA Metazoa_SRP Metazoan signal recognition particle RNA
GCUGGGCGUGGUGGCGCAUGCCUGUAAUCCCAGCUACUCGGGAGGCUGAGGCAGGAGAAUUGCUUGAACCUGGGAGGUGGAGGUUGCAGUGAGCCGAGAUCGCAUCACUGCACUCCAGCCUGGAUGACAGAGUGAGACUCUGUCUCAA